UCCACGCCGCCCUCACAGCUGUGCUUCUACUGUUGCUUCUCAAAUCACGUCAGUAAACGCUCCCUGCCUUCUACCUAAAGCCAGGAGAAAUGGCAUGUCAUUCUAGUAUUUGGUACUUAUUACUACUUUCCUAAUUUCCACGCAUGGUAGUCUAUGUGAAAGAGACAGUAAACAUCCUGAAUUACUAUCAAUCAUGUGAUCAGCAAGUAGAAGGAGGAAAGAAAACUGGGCUGAGGGGAUUUUUAUUGAACUAUCCUUGUUCUUAAAUAGGGCUGCAGGGCAAAGAGACACGCAGGACAUCACCAUAACCGAAUGUAUUUCUCUAAUAAUUGUGGUAAAAAUGUAAGCUAAAUUAAACAAACCAAUCAACGUGCUCCCUAUCAGCAGUACAAAUUAGCAGUAAAGGCAGCUCAGAGUCAUUUCCUAGGAGUCCUCCCGGGUGAACGGGAAGCACUGACAUUUCCUGAGCAUGCCACGCAUUUCUACAUGCAUUGGCUCCUUUUAUCUUCACAGCGCUCUGAGUCAGGAUGUCUAUGAUUGGUUGGCAAAGAGAGCAACAUUUGAAUUUAAAGAAAAGACCAAAACAACCAAGUGUCAUUACAUCAGUGAGAAAGAUAAAGCUUCGUUGUCAGAGAAAACUCCAACUGGAGUCAGAGAUUAGGCACCAAAACCCUGUCUUAAGAUGAGGCUUUUGGCUAUCAGGAACUGAUUCAAUGAUUCCAACUGAGAACAAGGAAGAAGACAUCAGGAAAAACAUGGAGAAAAAUUAAAAUCCGUAUGGAGAAUA
rnacentral:lncRNA from 1 species